GUUUCUUUCACUUCAAUAUUGGGUGUAUUUGCAGUUUUGCAUGUUUUUCCAUUAGGUAUUGGCUUCACCCUUGAUACAGACUUCUGAGUUUGUGUACGCUCAUCAAGUACAACAUGGAAGACUGUGAGCUGGAAUGCGUUCCACAGCCUUACAAAAGGACAGCAGACACAGCAUCCGCCCAAGGAGGAUGCUACUGAAUGCCUUUCAAAACAGCACCACACUUGGGUACUACAAUUGCUUCAAAUGCCUCAAAAUUGAAAAUAUCUUUCCCUCCCUAUGCAUUUUGAAUAAACACAACACUCCGACACCAAUGAUGUUUGAGUCCAUUUUAUUUGUGGACUAACUUAAGUAUUUUAAUUCCCAUCACAAUACACCUCCCCCCUCCGAUUCUUAAAAGAAACCAGAUUAUCCUCGGCAGAUUCAACUGCAGAGGGACAAACUUUCCUCCUAUUGCAAAAUAAAAAUAGCUGCAUUGCAGUUAUGUGGCAACAUCAAUCAUGUAUUUCCAGUACUCUAGUUUUUGCCCUGUGAGGAAAUGGGCUGGCUGAGCUGCGAAGAGAUGGAAGAGCAGCCGUGCCCUUCCCACCUGCAUGUGAAAGCAUCCAUUCUUUACAGUUUGGUACAGAAAUCGGUUGCUGUGCUGGUCACAUAUAAUAGAAAAAUGCAAACUGGGCAUAGUGCCAGGAUCCUGACCAAUCUGUGCUGGUGUUGUGUAAUUAUCCGAUCAAGAAACUUUCAACCACAACUCUGCCUAUUCCCAGUACUUUCUCUCUUAACUAGUCAAAGGAGGGUACCGUGCACACUACAAGAAUUCGCACACAUCAUCAUGCCUUCACAGGAAUGACUACUGUAUAAUCCAGCUCUGGCUGCCACGGCCCCGGUGUAAGAAAAACCUACAGCGCGCUUUUGGAAAAGCAGAAACAUCAGAAAAGCAGGUUCCCGUUCAAGCUACAAAGUGGAUGCAAGCAUACGAAGGCUUCGCAACACGUCGUCGAUUAAACCAACACUCCAAGAUUCACGAUUUGGGCUGCCAAUCAAUGAGAAGAAACAAAUUCUUUCUCACUGUUCAAUUUUGGUGUGGGGGGCGUAGCUCUUCCAGCCCACUUAGCAGAGAUGACUCUCCUUUUGCUGCUUCAGCAGACGGGUUAUUUUGCAGCCCAUACAAACCUUCGCUGCUGCAGCCUCAGGCGACCUCUGGGGUCUGUGCUGUCGUCGUCGGAGAGCCUUGUUACUAGGACCAGCCCAGCUACCAGAAUGUCCACUUUCAAGAGCUGACCACCCUGCUGACUUUAUGGUUGUUCACAAUAUGGCCCCAAUCCAAUGGACUGGACUCUGCUUGAGUGGAACUACAUAUAUGACCUAUCUUAAGCAUAUGGAUAUGGAUAUAUUUAUCUCCUAAUAAAUCCAAACCACAGGACUGCAAGAAGUUGCCCGUUUAAUGUUUUAAAAUAUCAUAUAUAUUAUUUGCUUUUAUAUAAUAAAAUUAUAAUUUCUUCUAUUAA